AGUGAACGCUGGCGGUAGGCCUAACACAUGCAAGUCGAACGGCAGCACAGUAAGAGCUUGCUCUUACGGGUGGCGAGUGGCGGACGGGUGAGGAAUACAUCGGAAUCUACUUUUUCGUGGGGGAUAUCGUAGGGAAACUUACGCUAAUACCGCAUACGACCUACGGGUGAAAGCAGGGGAUCUUCGGACCUUGCGCGAUUGAAUGAGCCGAUGUCGGAUUAGCUAGUUGGCGGGGUAAAGGCCCACCAAGGCGACGAUCCGUAGCUGGUCUGAGAGGAUGAUCAGCCACACUGGAACUGAGACACGGUCCAGACUCCUACGGGAGGCAGCAGUGGGGAAUAUUGGACAAUGGGCGCAAGCCUGAUCCAGCCAUACCGCGUGGGUGAAGAAGGCCUUCGGGUUGUAAAGCCCUUUUGUUGGGAAAGAAAAGCAGCAGGUUAAUACCCCGCUGUUCUGACGGUACCCAAAGAAUAAGCACCGGCUAACUUUGUG
rnacentral:rRNA from 1 species